CGAUCCCAUCCCGAACUCGGAAGUUAAGCUCUUCGGAGCCGAUGGUACUGCACGGGAAGCCGUGUGGGAGAGUAGGACGUCGCCGGGA
rnacentral:rRNA from 1 species